GUACUGAUGAAGAGUCGAAAACUAGGACGAAACAGCUGUCCAGUAC
rnacentral:hammerhead_ribozyme from 1 species